GACGAACGCUGGCGGCGUGCCUAACACAUGUAAGUCGCACGGGACUGGAGGGCAACUUCCAGUUCAGUGGCAGACGGGUGCGUAACACGUGAGGAACUUGUCCAACGGCGGGGAUAGCCGGCCCAACGGCCGGGUAAUACCGCAUACGAUCAUUUGGGGGCAUCCCUGAAUGAAGAAAGCAGCCGCAAGGUUGCGCCGAUGGAGAGUCUCGCGGCCUAUCAGCAGUUGGCGGGGUAAUGGCCCACCAAGGCGACGACGGGUAGCUGGUCUGAGAGGAUGGCCAGCCACAUUGGGACUGAGACACGGCCCAGACUCCUACGGGAGGCAGCAGUGGGAAUCUUGCGCAAUGGCCGCAAGGCUGACGCAGCGACGCCGCGUGUGGGAUGACGGCCUGGUU
rnacentral:rRNA from 1 species